rnacentral:tRNA from 1 species
GUUCAUAUAGUAUAAAUAUUAUUCUUGACUUCCAAUCAAGAGAUCUAGAAAUUAGUAUGAACA